ensembl:lncRNA
CUGUCUUCGUCACGGUGCUCCCCUCGUGCGUGACCUCGCAGCUGUAACUGCCUUUCGAUUUCCAGUCGCUGCCCAUCAGGCUCAGGUAGCUGCUGGCCGCGUACUUGCUGUUGCUCUGUUUGGAGGCCCGGGUGGUCUCCACGUUGCGGGUGAUGGUGCUGCCGUCUGCCUUCCAGACCACGGUCACGCUACCCGGGUAGAAGUCGCUGAUGAGACACACCAGGGUGGCCUUGUUGCCGUUGAGCUCCUCCGUGGAGGGCGGGAACAGG